UAAUGUUACAACUUAAUUUUCACCAACUUUGGUUACACCAAGAUUUUCCCUAAAUUAAAAGGGAUAUGAAUAAUACAAUGUGUUGCCCAUCAAAUCAGACAAAGACCAGCAAGAUUAUGAACAUUUAUACUUUACAGCCUGUUCAAAGCACUCCUGAUGAUAGAGACUUAUGUAUGCCUUCAUUUAAAUUUUGCUCGAGGAUCUCGAGGAAAUAAAAUUCUGUUUCAGAAAAGGAAAAACAUGCACCAUUACCACUAAUUACACAAUUAUCAAUAAUUACAAUAUGUAACAAGAGUUGUAUUUCAGUAGCAGAUGCUAUCAACUAAAGUAGCACACAGCAUCAUCUGAAAGCAUCAAUACUAUUUUCGCUUGUCCAAGGUCAAGGACAUCAGUAGAUAACCAAGUUCUUCAGGAUUGGCAUUAUAUGUUGAUAUUCCUAAGAGAGUUCAAAUCCAGCAUUGGAGCUGAUGGCAUAGAGAAGCUUGGCCCUCAAAGUACUUGGACGUUUAUAUGUUGGAAGCUUUAGUGUAGUGUAACAUAA